UUGGGCAGCUCACAGCCUCUGGCUUCUUAGGGCACUGCACUUCUGUGCACAGAUUGAUACAUUCAGAUUCAUACACAGGAACAUAUACAUAUAUACAUGAUUUAAAAAUACAUAAGAUACUACUAGAAAGAUGGUAAUCAACUUAAUAAAGAAUGGCAAUAUUAGUAUUAAGUAAAUUCUUAAUAGAAUUUAACAGAAACAUUGCGAAGCAAAGAAGAGAUGAUGCAUCAGAAUGGUGUAAUAGUUACUUCAGCUCCAAGCCCAGAGUCUUAUGAUAAGAAGUAAGAAGAAAGAGAGCAGAGAAAAAAGGAGAACAGAGAAAGAAAAUGCAGUGGCAAGAACAGGGAACAGUCCAGAGAAAAGAAGAGAACCUAGAAAAGGAAGUUGGACAGAGGAGAACAAUCUGGAAAAG
rnacentral:lncRNA from 1 species